CCAGGAGAGCUGCCCAGUGUGGCAGGAAGAGACAGAGGGAGAGCCUGGAACAUCGGGCAAGUUGAAUUCCUCUGUCUCUAGUUAUAUUUAUAGAUGUAUACAGUUAUGUUUAUUUAUCUAGGUAGUUGUAUUUCUAGAUUUAUGUAACUAUAUUUAUAUAUCUAUACAGAUAGAGAUCUGUACAGUUAAAUUAUUUUUCGUUUUAUAUGUUUAUGGUUAAGCUUUAGAUGUGUUGUUAUAGGUGUGCACAGUUGCAUUUAUAGCUCUGUAUAGUUACAUGUACAUAUAUAUAUUUGUAAAUGCAUUUUUCUAUUUUAUAUGGGGGUUUGGCUACAUAGAUUGUUAUGUGUGAGCCUCUUUUUAAGCUCUUGCCCUGCUCUGCUUCCUCGCUCACCUCUGGCUUUUCCCCCUGUGCCCCCUGUGUCCCCUCUCCCUGGGCUGGGUCCGAGCUGGCGGCCGGGCCGGGCGCAGCAGCAGUUCCAGCCCCGGAUGUCCCUGGAGCGCUGGGAGCUGCCGGUGGCCCCAGGCACUGUCCCCUGAGGAGCUGCUGAAGGACGCUGCAAUGAAGACCUCGAGGACCGCCGGAGACUGCCGGGAGCCAGCAGGGAGAAGCCGAGGGCCGGGAGCAGGAGCAGGGAGCAAGGCCCUGCUGCUGCCAGCCUGGAGAGAGCCCGGAUGUCCCAUCUGCUGUCCCUGUCCAGGGGAGCUGCUCUGCCCGGGAGGAAGAGGCCGAGGGAGAGGCUUUGAAGAUGGGGCAGUUGGGAUCCCUCUUCUUGAAGUUCUCUUUAAAGAUUGCACAAAGGCAGUGAUAAUUACAUGGAUAUUUACAUAUGUAGGCUGCUAUUUGUACAGGAAUAUUUCUAGAUGUAUGUUGUUAUAUUUAUGGAUGUAUUAUGUAUAUAUGUAUUCAUAUAUAUACAUGUGUUUGUAAUUACAUCUAUGUCUAUAUACAUAUCUAAGUAUACAUGGAUGUUGUUAUAUCUGUGUUUAGUUUUAUUUCCUAGGUUUUUUGCUGUGUGGGUAUCUAUUUAUAUUGAUGCAGUUAUAGGCAUAUGGCUCUUUAAAUAGUUAUAUUGAUAUUUACAUAGGUAUAUAUGUCUAUUUUUAUAUGUAUAUUGACCCAUUUCUAUAUGUAAUUAUAUUUACAUAAGUGUCCAGAUGUAUACCUGUAUAUUUGUAUUGAUGCAUUUGUAUGGUUAUUUAGCUUGGCAUAAUGAUACAUAACAAACAAUCUAUACAUACAAAAAUAUAAUUUUAUAUGUAUAUGCUAUUUUAAAUCUCUAUUUACAUCUGUAGAUUUUUAUAUAUUUAUUUAUAUGUAUUUAUGUAUAUAUAGAUGUAUUUCAUUUUAUUUCAAUACUUAUGGAGUGGUAUAUUUGUAUAAUUCUAUCGGUUCUAUGUAUAAUUCUAUGAGUACUUGAUACAGGGCUACUUAGAGAAUUCAUAUUUUUGUAUUUCUAUACGGGCUAUACCUUUCUAGUAAUAUGUAAUAAAUUAAGUUGUUCAACUCCUAAUUGAUCUUUGUGUAUAGUGAGUUGUUUUAAAGGUUGGCAAUAAAUUAAAUUUUGUUAACGG